rnacentral:rRNA from 1 species
AGAGCGAACGUUAGCGGCGGGCUUAACACAUGCAAGUCGAGCGAGAAAGGUGGCUUCGGUCACCGAGUAAAGCGGCGCACGGGUGAGUAACACGUGGAUAACCUGCCCUUCAGUGGGGGACAACCAUCCGAAAGGAUGGCUAAUACCGCAUACGUCAUAGGGAGCUGCGGCACUCUAUGGGAAAGCUAGCCUCUAUUUAUAAGCUGGCGCUGAAGG